rnacentral:rRNA from 1 species
GGUGACCGACCCUUCGGGAACCUACACACAGGUGCUGCACGGCUGUCGUCAGCUCGUGUCGUGAGAUGUUGGGUUAAGUCCGCAACGAGCGCAACCCUUGCCCUUAGUUACCAUCAUUUAGUUGGGGGACUCUAAGGGGACUGCCGGUGAUAAACCGGAGGAAGGUGGGGACGACGUCAAGUCAUCAUGGCCCUUAUGACCGGGGCUACACACGUACUACAAUGGUCGGUACAGACGGUCGCAAGCUCGCGAGAGUAAGCUAAUCCGAGAAAACCGAUCGUAGUCCGGAUCGCAGUCUGCAACUCGACUGCGUGAAGUCGGAAUCGCUAGUAAUCGCAAAUCAGAAUGUUGCGGUGAAUACGUUCCCGGGCCUU